CUCAUUUUCUGUAACCUCAUAUUUCACAUUGUAUCACGUUAGGAUAUUGUGUGGGGAUAUCCCAACAAGUGCCUUUUGGGUUUGCACAUGUCCUUCCCAUCUCUUUUGCCCAAUCUGAGUCCGGUUGUGCCUCUGGGGCUCCUCCCAAUGGUUCAAGGGAUUUUAAACUUGAUCUACAUUUGAAGCUCUCAGCCUAUUUUCCAGAUCCUCUGAUACUCAAACAUUAUUCUUGCUCCCCUCUCAUCACCCAGCCUUCUCCAUCUCCUACACACUCUGAAAUAAUCUGUCAGAAGAUCCUCAUCCUGCCGUGCUGGCUUACUCUGGAUCAAGAGACAAAGACUCCAGCUCUAUCUCUGAUGGACCGAGUAGGAAGAAUCAGCAUGAGUCAACCCACCAGGUUUCCCAGAGCUUAAUCCAGAAGGGACCCAAACACUAGGGAGUGUUUCAGGAGAGGAGGAAGAUCCAGAGCACCACCCUAUGCCAAAGAAAGCAUGAAUGCAGAAUGUGUAACUUCAUGAUGGCUAAACCUUGGAUCCCUGCUUGUCUGAGUCCAUACAGGCUGCAAUAACAAAACACCUUAGACUGGAUAAACUGGAGAUGUCCUCCUGAGCAACCUUGGAAACCACAUAUUGAAGAUGGUCUCUGAAUCACCCCUGGCCACCUGACUGGGAACACCAAAUAGGAUUGCUACAUGAGUGAAAAAUAAACAAUUUCUGGGCUGAGUCACUGAGACUUGUUUAUCUGUUCCAGCUGCUGGAGCUACCUUCACCAAUACAGGGGUAAUCAUAGUACCUUUUACUGGGAGGAUUAAGUGAGAUAAUGCUUACUCAACUGCCAGGUACACGGUAAGCACUCACCAUCAUCAACUUUUACUGUAGCAAGGAAGAGUUUACAGACCUG
rnacentral:lncRNA from 1 species